rnacentral:rRNA from 1 species
UCAGUUCGGACUGGGGUCUGCAACCCGACCCCACGAAGCUGGAUUCGCUAGUAAUCGCGCAUCAGCCAUGGCGCGGUGAAUACGUUCCCGGGCCUUGUACACACCGCCCCGUCAAGCCAUGAAAGCCCGGGGGGCGCCUGAAGUCCGUGACCGCGAGGGUCGGCCUAGGGUGAAACCGGUGAUUGGGGCUAAGUCGUAACAAGGUAAC